rnacentral:lncRNA from 1 species
CCGCAAAUGUUUCAUGAGUCUCCUUGGCCUUCGGUUAAAAAUUCUUCUCUCUUUUCUUUUUCUUUUUUCUUUUUUUUUCUAAAUUAGCAUAAAUAAUCUGCAGGAGGAGCUAAACACCAUCUUGUCCCUGCGGAAGCAACUCGAAGAAGGCAUCUUGGAGACCUGGAAUUUGCGGAGAACGUUGGAAGAGCAAAUCCGGGAUAACAGGAAGGAAGAAGACACCCCUUUAUCUUGGAGCAAUCAGACGUCGUACAUGAGCAUUUGCUUACGGGACCAGGAUCAUCGGUGGGACUGUCCAGUAGACCAGCUCUCUUUGGAGGAACUUAAAAAGAAGUUUGUCGAACUCCUCGGAGUGGUGAAGGAAAUGCACUGGGUCAUCCAAGAACUGAAAAAGAAGCCGUUUGACUUCUCCGCGUCAGAUCCUUCGGGAAACGAGAAGCAGAAAUCCUUAGACACAAGCGAGCUUCUUGAGCGGACGGAGGAAAGUCAGACUCUGCUGGGGGCUUCCGACGAAGAGGCGAGCGUGCCCAGCUGCGACUGUCCAGAGACCCUGAGCGAGGUGGGACUUCAUUGGCCUGGC